GGGGCAGCGCGAACGGGCGAGCGCCGCGUGCCGGAGAGCGGAGGCUGCAGCGCGCCGGGCAGCCGGGAUGCAGCGGCGCCGCCCAAGUCUGGGGCGCAGGGGUCGGGGCACACGGGGAGAGGCCCGACGCGGGGCCGAGGGAAGGGUGGUCUUUCCCGCAGAGUUGCCGCUGGAGGACCGAAAGUUUUGCAGGCAGCCCUUGCUUCCAGCUUGUCCCUCUCUCCCCGGGUCCCUGUCGCCCAACGCGAGGCGCCCCCGCUGGGGUCCCGACGUCUUGGUGGGGAGGAGCCGUGAGGGGUUGCGCCCCCCACCCCCACCCGAGCCAGGGAAGGGACCCUGGUGACCUCGCCUCCCAGCCCUCACCCCCGUCACCCCUUUCUUCUCUUUCCUGGAGGACUUUGGACCAUGGAGAUUCUGCAGUUGUUGCUCUGGGAGCUGAAACCAGUGGGUAGAUGUCGUUCUGAAACGCAGGAUUACAGAAACUUCUUUGGUCUAUUUCCAUGACUGCAUUCAGUGGAGACACAUUACUUUCUGCUUUUCAGAGCCUGAGACCACCUUCCAGGACAAUGGAGACAUAAGUUCUUCUUUUUGUAAAGGUGUGUCCUGAGGAACCUCACAUUUGAAAGAAGAGUGAACGGAAGUCAAAUGUGGAAACCACUUAAAUGUCCAUCAACUGAUGAAUGAAUAAACAAAUCAUGGUAUAUCCAUACAAGGAAUGUUAUUCACCCAUAAAAAGGAAUGAAGUCUUAAUACACCUACAACUGGAUGAACGUUGAAAACAUUAUGCUAUCCAUUCUGCUUCAGGUUGGAAAAAAAAAUACGAUCCUUACCUAAAGAAGCCAUCUACAAAAGGCCACAUAUUGUGUGAUUAUAUCAUAUGACCAGAAUACGCAAAUUCAUAGAGACAGAAAGCAGAUUAAUGGUUGCCAGGAACUGGGGGAAGGGGAGGAAUAGGAGUGACUAAUUGUGUUUUUCCCAUUGUGAUUAAAAAAAAAGUUCUGGAACCAGAUAGUGGUGAUGGUUGCACAACAUUGUGAAUGUACUUAGUACCACUGAAUUGUACACUUUAAAAUGGUCAGUUUUGGCUGGGUACGGUGGCUCAUGCCUGUAAUCCUGGCGUUUUGGGAGGCUGAGGCAGGGGAAUCACCUGAGUUCAGGAGUUCAAAACCAGCCUGGCCAACAUGGUGAAACCCCGUCUCUACUAAAAAUACAAAAAUUAGCUGGGCGUGGUGGCACAUGCCUGUAGUCCCAGCUACUCAGGAGGCUGAGGCAGGAGAAUCACUUGAAUCUGGAAGGUGGAGAUUGCAGUGAGCUGAGAUUGUGUCACUGUACUCCAGCCUGGGCAACAAAGUGAGACUCUGUCUCAAAAAAAAAAAAAAAAGAAAGAAAUAAAAGAAAAGUUAGUUUUGUAUAAUGCCUAUUUUAUCACAAUAAAAAAUUAAAAGAGUGAA